GCUCCAGGUUUCUGGAGUUUGGGUGCAGAUUUCUGGAAACUAAAAACUGGUGUGAUUUGUGAUCUUCGUUCCACAUGCCACUGCUGCUGCUCUUGACACCAAAAAGGGAGCUUAGAAAGAACUUUUCUCUACCAUCAUCAGGACAGGAAGAAUAGCUGUGGAGAUGCUCAGGUAAGACUGAAAAGUAGCCAGGCAAAGAAGCACAACUUAGAAAUGUCCACAGUGUCCUUCGACUGGCUGGAAGACCCAUCUGGCUCCAAUAUGUUCACCUUCAAAGGUCACCUGCCUAGUGCCCACCUCACAGAAGGAACAGCUUCAUAAGCUCAUGUACUCAGAGGGAGGUUAUAUAUGAAGCAUAAGACAAUCUAUGUAAAGUACCUGAUACGAUGACUGACACAGAAUAACAACAAUUACAACAACAACACAAAAAGCACCUGCAGUGUAACAAGCAUAUUUUACAGUCAUCCCUUGGUAUCUACAGCAGACUGGUUCCAGGACGCCUGAGGAUACAAAAAUCCAUCGA